rnacentral:rRNA from 1 species
ACUCAAAGGAAUUGACGGGGGCCCGCACAAGCGGUGGAGCAUGUGGUUUAAUUCGACGCAACGCGAAGAACCUUACCUGGGCUCGAACGGGUCACGACUGCCUUUGGAAACAGAGGCGUUCCCGCAAGGGACGUGAUUCGAGGUGCUGCAUGGCUGUCGUCAGCUCGUGUCGUGAGAUGUUGGGUUAAGUCCCGCAACGAGCGCAACCCUUGUCCUGUGUUGCAACUAUUAAGUUAGGCACUCUCAGGAGACCGCCAGCGAUAAGCUGGAGGAAGGUGGGGAUGACGUCAAGUCAUCAUGGCCUUUAUGUCCAGGGCUACACACGUGCUACAAUGGACGGUACAAACCGCCGCAAACCCGCGAGGGGGAGCAAAUCGGAAAAAACCGUUCUCAGUUCGGAUUGCAGGCUGCAACUCGCCUGCAUGAAGCUGGAAUCGCUAGUAAUGGUAUAUCAGAACGAUACCGUGAAUACGUUCCCGGGCCUUGUACACACCGCCCGU